rnacentral:rRNA from 1 species
GACAGAGGGUGCAAGCGUUGCUCGGAAUUACUGGGCGUAAAGGGCUCGUAGGCGGCCAACUAAGUCAGACGUGAAAUCCCUCGGCUUAACCGGGGAACUGCGUCUGAUACUGGAUGGCUUGAGAUUGGGAGAGGGAUGCGGAAUUCCAGGUGUAGCGGUGAAAUGCGUAGAUAUCCGGAGGAACACCGGUGGCGAAGGCAGGUCUCUGGGCUGACACUGACGCUCAUGCACGAAAGCGUGGGGAGCAAACAGG